UGGUCAUUUCCAAGGUUUUUAGAAUGCAGUUUCUUAUUUGCUGUGGACAUGACCAUAAAGAAAUUCCCAAGAGGGUUAAACGUUUGUUUGUGUGUAUAUGU